GUUCCGACGAGAAGCUUUCAAUUGUUGAUUGGAUAUUUGGAAUAACGUGAAAUUUCCUCCAAGCAGAACAAUCCAAGAUAACGUAUAUGAGAAAAUUCCCUUUUUCUUUAAUUAAUGCGUUGAUGUGGACAUCUCUGCAUUUCAUUUUGAGCAGUAUGUCUUUUGUUAUGAGUAAUGAGCAUGAUGGUACAAAUAAGAAACAAAGUUUGAAUGUGAAUGUCUUUAAAAUAAUAUAAUGUAGAAUAUAAUGUAGAAAAUCUUCUUAGAAUAGGAAAAAUACUAGACAUUCGUAUGUCUAUUUGUGAUAUUAGAUGAUUAAGAAAGAUAAGGAGAAUAUAAAUUGUCUUAAAUUGCCAUCCAGGAAAUUGUUACAUAAAAACAAGAAGGAAUUUCUUACAUUGGAAAGAAAAAUAGGGACAAUUAGAACUAACUAUUGUUAUUCACUAACAAUAAAGAAUUCAAUU